GUGAACGCUGGCGGUAGGCCUAACACAUGCAAGUCGCACGGCAGCACAGUAAGAGCUUGCUCUUACGGGUGGCGAGUGGCGGACGGGUGAGGAAUACAUCGGAAUCUACUUUUUCGUGGGGGAUAACGUAGGGAAACUUACGCUAAUACCGCAUACGACCUACGGGUGAAAGCAGGGGAUCUUCGGACCUUGCGCGAUUGAAUGAGCCGAUGUCGGAUUAGCUAGUUGGCGGGGUAAAGGCCCACCAAGGCGACGAUCCGUAGCUGGUCUGAGAGGAUGAUCAGCCACACUGGAACUGAGACACGGUCCAGACUCCUACGGGAGGCGGCAGUGGGGAAUAUUGGACAAUGGGCGCAAGCCUGAUCCAGCCAUACCGCGUGGGUGAAGAAGGCCUUCGGGUUGUAAAGCCCUUUUGUUGGGAAAGAAAAGCAGCAGGUUAAUACCCCGCUGUUCUGACGGUACCCAAAGAAUAAGCACCGGCUAACUUCGUG
rnacentral:rRNA from 1 species